rnacentral:rRNA from 1 species
AGUGAACGCUGGCGGUAGGCCUAACACAUGCAAGUCGAACGGCAGCACAGUAAGAGCUUGCUCUUACGGGUGGCGAGUGGCGGACGGGUGAGGAAUACAUCGGAAUCUACUUUUUCGUGGGGGAUAACGUAGGGAAACUUACGCUAAUGCCGCAUACGACCUACGGGUGAAAGCAGGGGAUCUUCGGACCUUGCGCGAUUGAAUGAGCCGAUGUCGGAUUAGCUAGUUGGCGGGGUAAAGGGCCACCAAGGCGACGAUCCGUAGCUGGUCUGAGAGGAUGAUCAGCCACACUGGAACUGAGACACGGUCCAGACUCCUACGGGAGGCAGCAGUGGGGAAUAUUGGACAAUGGGCGCAAGCCUGAUCCAGCCAUACCGCGUGGGUGAAGAAGGCCUUCGGGUUGUAAAGCCCUUUUGUUGGGAAAGAAAAGCAGCAGGUUAAUACCCCGCUGUUCUGACGGUACCCAAAGAAUAAGCACCGGCUAACUUCGU